rnacentral:rRNA from 1 species
AGUGAACGCUGGCGGUAGGCCUAACACAUGCAAGUCGAACGGCAGCACAGUAAGAGCUUGCUCUUACGGGUGGCGAGUGGCGGACGGGUGAGGAAUACAUCGGACUCUACUUUUUCGUGGGGGAUAACGUAGGGAAACUUACGCUAAUACCGCAUACGACCUACGGGUGAAAGCAUGGGAUCUUCGGACCUUGCGCGAUUGAAUGAGCCGAUGUCGGAUUAGCUAGUUGGCGGGGUAAAGGCCCACCAAGGCGACGAUCCGUAGCUGGUCUGAGAGGAUGAUCAGCCACACUGGAACGGAGACACGGUCCAGACUCCUACGGGAGGCAGCAGUGGGGAAUAUUGGACAAUGGGCGGAAGCCUGAUCCAGCCAUACCGCGUGGGUGAAGAAGGCCUUCGGGUUGUAAAGCCCUUUUGUUGGGAAAGAAAAGCAGCAGGUUAAUACCCCGCUGUUCUGACGGUACCCAAAGAAUAAGCACCGGCUAACUUCGUG